rfam:Chlorocebus sabaeus isolate 1994-021 chromosome 7, whole genome shotgun sequence.
GUCUAUGACCAUACCACUCUGAAUGUGCCCAGUCUCAUCUGAACUCAGAAGUUAAGCAGAGUCUAGCCUGGUUAGUACUUAGAUGGGAGACUGGGUGCUGUAGGCU